rnacentral:rRNA from 1 species
AGAGUGAACGCUGGCGGUAGGCCUAACACAUGCAAGUCGAACGGCAGCGCAGGAGAGCUUGCUCUCUGGGUGGCGAGUGGCGGACGGGUGAGGAAUACAUCGGAAUCUACCUUUUCGUGGGGGAUAACGUAGGAAACUUACGCUAAUACCGCAUAAGACCUUCGGGUGAAAGCCGGGGACCUUCGGGCCUGGCGCGGAUAGAUGAGCCGAUGUCGGAUUAGCUUGUUGGCGGGGUAAAGGCCCACCAAGGCGACGAUCCGUAGCUGGUCUGAGAGGAUGAUCAGCC